rnacentral:lncRNA from 1 species
CUCCGGGUGAGGAGCAGCUCAGAUGGCCCCGGUAGCAGAAGGAACAGGGAUGGGACCAGUCCUGGUUGAAUACUCACAUCCAGGUGGCCACAGCAUGACAUAGGCUUGAGUGAACUGAGAGAACCAGCCUGGAUGGCAGAGCUUUUGUUUCAGCUCACCUGCACUGAAGCUGUUUCCCAAGAGGAUGACCCGGGUGCCUGCCUGGCUAAGUAACAAGCAAACAUUUCGGAGCCUAAGUUUGGGAAAGAGCCUGAAGGCCCCUACACCCUGAAGCAACAUUCCAAGCCUUGCUGCUCACAAUGCGGUCCCGGGACCAGCGGCAGCAGCAGCAGCCCAGGACGCUUGUUAGAAAUGCGGCACCUCCGGCCCCACUUCAGACGUUCUGAACCCAAAUCUGCAUUUUAUCACGAUCCCAGGUGAUUCAUGUGCCCGUUAGAGUGAGCGAAGCCCUGGAUUAGAGAACAGAAAUUAGACGUGACCCUUCCUUUGACAGGAAUUUAUCACCAGGCUCUAUCUCAAGAACUGUGAGAAUUCGGUUCAGAUGUUUGUGAUAACUCUGCAGCAGUAACUGACUAGCGUGGUGGUUCUCUUCCCUGACUGGGCGUUGGAAUCAGCGAGGGAAGUUUUAAAAGAUGUUGAUGUGCAGAAUUUACCCAAGAGGUUGUGAUUCAAUGGGUGUCUGGGAAGGGGCUGGGACAUCUGUGUUUACUUAGAGUUCCCCAGGUGAUUCUACUGUGCAGCCAGGGCUAAGAGGCCCUGGGGUACAAAUAUCAUCUUGAAUGGUUAGACUUCUUUCUGAAUGGGAGUGAUGUAAUUUCCGAUUUGCCCACCGAGCACAGCAUGCUGGGCCCUGAGGAUGUUACAGAAGUGGAUACCAUUAUUGCUCUCCAGGGACAAUUCAUCGAGGAACAAUAUGGCAUCUGCAAGGUGAAAAAAGAGCGAUAACAGGAGAUGCCGCAAAGUGUGGCUUCCAGACACAAGAGUGUGCUGGGAGGAGAGCUGAGGAGGUGAGUGCAUGGCAGGAAGGGAUGAAAACGGACUGAGCAUAGAGAGCUGGGAGGGAGAGGGAAAGGCCCUGCGUGACACAUCCUUGUGGCAUGUGAGAACUAGAAGGUGCUUAGGAAUCUUCUAGUUUUGCCACAGGAUACCAUGCUGCACCAUUGACAUUUUGAAUCAGAUCAUUCUUUGUUAGGGGCUGCCCUGUGCAUUGUAGGAUGUUCAACAGCAUCCCUGACCUCCACCUACCAGAUGCCAGUAGCAUCCCCUGUCCCAUCUGUGACAAACAAAAAUGUCUGCAGACUUUGUCAGCUGUUCCCUGGGGUCAAAAGCACCCCUGGCUGAGAGGCACUGGCAUAGAACAAUUAAGAACAAUGGUGGUAGGCCCUAGAUACUGACAUGAAAGGUGCAUUGAGAUGUGUUAAGAAUGAAAAGUAAGUUGCACAACAACAUGGAUGUUAGUCCCAAUAAAACGGAUGUGUGUGU